CUCCAUCACUGCACAAACACACCGACUCCAUCACUGCAUUAACACACUGACUCCAUCACUGCAUUAACACAC